rnacentral:sRNA from 2 species
AACACCCAAUUUGAUCGACGCGGCAAGGGCGAUGAGGUCUUCACUUGAAAAAGGACAGCAUUUUGUCGUACGGCGUGCUGAAACAACUGUUGCCUCGUACUUGCAGCCACGAACAAGGCCAGAUCCUCGUUUAUCCAUUCCUCAUCAUUAGUCUGGGCCUAUCGUAGCAGUGAGGUUUAUGGGAUAUGUGAUGGCGAAAUAGCAGCCGGCUGCUAUUAUUCUCAUCGGAGCGAAGGAAACAUUGAAAGCAACAAAUCUCAAGUCUGUCAGAACUGAGUGACCUCAAAUGGUGUUCCCCGAAUCACCAAAUUGAGUGGGCGCGAUGUGAUUUGUCCCGCUUCACUUGCGAUGGAAAUUUCGUAUUAUCGAAUUGAUAUCUGGCUAUGUACCAGCGGC